rnacentral:rRNA from 1 species
GAUGAACGCUAGCGAUAGGCUUAACACAUGCAAGUCGAGGGGCAGCAUGGAAUUAGUUUACUAAUUUUGAUGGCGACCGGCGGAUGGGUGAGUAACGCGUAUGCAAUCUACCUUUUACACAGGGAUAGCCCGGAGAAAUUCGGAUUAAUACUUGAUAAGAUAUUAGUUUCGCAUGAGACAGAUAUUAAAGAUUUAUUGGUAAAAGAUGAGCAUGCGUUCCAUUAGCUAGUUGGUAAGGUCACGGCUUACCAAGGCAACGAUGGAUAGGGGAACUGAGAGGUUUAUCCCCCACACUGGGACUGAGACACGGCCCAGACUCCUACGGGAGGCAGCAGUGAGGAAUAUUGGUCAAUGGGGCGAGAGCCUGAACCAGCCAAAAUCGCGUGAAGGAUGACUGCCCUACGGGUUGUAAACUUCUUUUAAUACAGGAAUAAAAAGUCAUACGUGUAUGACGUUGCAUGUACUGUAUGAAUAAGCAUCGGCUAACUCCGUGCC